GCCUUUGAUUUUUAAAAUAUGAAUGUAUAACAAUUAUUUGAAAAUUCAUAUUUUAAAACAACAGACAGCAGAUUUAGGCUUGUUUUUAUUUGAUGGAAAUUAUAAACUUUGAAGUCACAUGGAUUUUGAAUUAUGCUUUAAAGAAUGCAGUAUAUUCGAGGUAAACGAUUUUAUGAUGCAUAUAUAAAAUUAUAUUCUCAUAUCUUUUAAUAUUUAUCAAUUUAUAUAUCAUAAAUUCCAGCAGAUUCGUGGCUGUCUGUUUGUAUAAUUAGUUUUCUUCGUUUAAUUACUCCUCCAUCGCUUUUGGAUAUAAACCCUCCUUCAUGCCUGAUAUAUUUUUUGGUUAUCUCCAUCCUUCACUUAGUAAUUCACUAAGGCCAUGGGAAUGAAAGUCAUAGAUUUGCGUCCACCGCCCGCAUGCCUCAAAAGCUACCGCCUAAAAUUUUCAUUAUUUACAAAAAAAUUCAUUAUUUUCACAAAUAAAGCAAAACUCAAUAACAUUAGCAAUAAAAUUGUGUAUUGAUUACAAUAAAAUGAACAUAUUGUAGUGUGUUGUCCUCAGUAUCCACAUUCUAUGAAAUUCCAAAUUAUAUUCACCGAAAUGGCGAAAUUGGCACACAGAUCUUCAGUACUGCAACUGCGUGAGCUCGAGAUAUAUGUAAUUCCGUGGCGUAAACGGUAAUUCGUGUUUUGAUCUCUGUAUUUACCACCCAAAAGGAUGGUAAAAAAAUAAUGAAUAAUGAAUAAUGAAAAAAACCCGCAUGUUUUUUCAAAAUUAUCCGGACGCAAAUCUAUGACUUUCAUUCCCAUGGCCUAAAAUCAAAAUUUUCUGUUCCAGCUUGCUCAGAAAAUAUUCAAUCUUUCAUAACUGGAGUUAUCUUUGGCAUGUAAAAUCAUUAGGCAGUACCCUCAGUAAAAUACUUAUUUAACUGGCUGACCAUUACAGUAGUCAAAAGUUAAUAAAUGAAUACAUGCAAAAAUUACAAAUUAACUGCCCUCAUACCAAUCCAUUGGUCUCUGAUUCAUCCAAUAAAUACUUAACAGAAUAGUAUGAUAAUAAUAGAAAAGUGUGAAAAUGCCAACGUUACCUAACUUUGUGUGACAAGAAAGUUAGGUUACAUUAAUUUUACAGUCAGGUAUUCUUUUCUUUAUCGCCUCAAUACUCUGGUUGAUGAUUCCAAUGGCCCCCAUAAAAUUCCAAUGGCCCCCAUAAAUUUCCAAUGGCCCCCAUAAAUUUUACUGGAGAAAAUGUUUCCCCCACUUCUUGCCAUUAAAUCUCCAUAGCCCCCAAUUUUACCCAUCCAAUUAGGGAGAGUCUUGUGUGGUCACACUAUAGUAAUGGGAAUAUGGGAUAAUCAAAUAUGGCAUACUUUGUUAUUUUUCUCUGUCCAACACCAGACAAUUUUACUUGUCAAGUGUAAGGUUAAGUGAGUAAUAAAAAGUGGCUGGAUAUUCUAACUUUUGCUCCAUAUACAGUAAUUGGACUUUGGUUGUGAGCAAAAUGUAAAAAGACAAUUACCAGUAAUACUGGCCUUACUACCUCCCUAUUAUUUACCUUGCAACCUUGAGCAGUUGUGCUGUUACAGCAGAAUGUGGUUUCAAAUGACAGUUAUUUUAUGGCAAUUAUGAUAUUCCAGUGUGCCAGUAAGACAUUUGUCGUUUGUUUCUCUUUUAGUAUUAUAUCGAAAAGGUGAUUGCAGGGUAUUCAGAUCCUGGAGUGAUGUGAAAUGGCCAUGACAUUGGGCAAUUUAUAAGUAAUAUAUGAGUGGUGUAAAAUAGGAAAUUUUUUAUUAAUUCUGAUUGACUAAUAAAAUUAGAAUGGUGAGAAUAAUGAUGAUGGUAGUGAAAUACAAGUUGUGAUGAUAUUGGUGAUGCACAAGUUGUAAUGAUACUGCUGAUAAUGAUAAAAAAUAUAUUGUAUUUGUAAUGAGACAUAAAUACUAGAGAUUGGCAGUAAUGAAUGUGUAUGACUUGAUCAAUUGUGCUGGUGAG